rnacentral:tRNA from 1 species
GCACCUGUGGCGGAACUGGCAGACGCACUAGACUUAGGAUCUAGCGGGGAAACUCGUGGGGGUUCGACUCCCUUCAGGUGCA